GACGAACGCUGGCGGCGUGCUUAACACAUGCAAGUCGAACGGUAAGGCCCUUCGGGGUACACGAGUGGCGAACGGGUGAGUAACACGUGGGUGAUCUGCCCUGCACUUCGGGAUAAGCCUGGGAAACUGGGUCUAAUACCGGAUAGGACCACUGCCUGCAUGGGUGGUGGUGGAAAGCUUUUGCGGUGUGGGAUGGGCCCGCGGCCUAUCAGCUUGUUGGUGGGGUGAUGGCCUACCAAGGCGACGACGGGUAGCCGGCCUGAGAGGGUGACCGGCCACACUGGGACUGGGAUACGGCCCAGACUCCUACGGGAGGCAGCAGUGGGGAAUAAUGCACAAUGGGCGCAAGCCUGAUGCAGCGACGCCGCGUGAGGGAUGACGGCCUUCGGGUUGUAAACCUCUUUCAGCACCGACGAAGCGCAAGUGACGGUAGGUGCAGAAGAAGGACCGGCCAACUACGUGCCAGCCGCCGCGGUAA
rnacentral:rRNA from 1 species